CAGAGCUUAACAACUCCCAAACCCCUGUGAACAUACCACUGUUGCUUCGGCGGGCACGCCCCGGGCGCUCAUCGCGUGCCCCGGAACCAGGCGCCCGCCGGGGGAAAACAAACUCUUGUCUUACUUUUGUAUCGUCUGAGUGGAUUAUUAAAUAAAUCA
rnacentral:misc_RNA from 1 species